GACGAACGCUGGCGGCGUGCUUAACACAUGCAAGUCGAACGGAAAGGCCUCUUUCGGGGGGUACUCGAGUGGCGAACGGGUGAGUAACACGUGAGUAACCUGCCCUUGACUUUGGGAUAACUUCAGGAAACUGGGGCUAAUACCGGAUAGGAGCUCCUGCUGCAUGGUGGGGGUUGGAAAGUUUCGGCGGUUGGGGAUGGACUCGCGGCUUAUCAGCUUGUUGGUGGGGUAGUGGCUUACCAAGGCUUUGACGGGUAGCCGGCCUGAGAGGGUGACCGGCCACAUUGGGACUGAGAUACGGCCCAGACUCCUACGGGAGGCAGCAGUGGGGAAUAUUGCACAAUGGGUGGAAGCCUGAUGCAGCAACGCCGUGUGCGGGAUGACGGCCUUCGGGUUGUAAACCGCUUUCGCUCAUGACGAAGCUUUGUGUGACGGUGUGGGUAAAGAAGCACCGGCUAACUACGUG
rnacentral:rRNA from 1 species